ensembl:snRNA U6 U6 spliceosomal RNA
ACCGGGCCUCUAGUAUACUAUAAAAUUGGAACUGUACAGAGAAGAUUAGCAUGGCCCCUAUGCAAAGGUAACACACAAAUUCACGAAGUGUCCCAUAGUUUU